rnacentral:rRNA from 1 species
CUUCGGUACGAUCGGUGACAGUGGUGCAUGGUUGUCGUCAGCUCGUGUCGUGAGAUGUUGGGUUAAGUCCGCAACGAGCGCAACCCCUAUUGUUAGUUGCCAUCAUUCAGUUGGGCACUCUAGCGAGACUGCCGGUAAUAAACCGGAGGAAGGUGGGGAUGACGUCAAAUCAUCAUGCCCCUUAUGACCUGGGCUACACACGUGCUACAAUGGUUGGUACAACGAGUUGCGAGUCGGUGACGGCGAGCUAAUCUCUUAAAGCCAAUCUCAGUUCGGAUUGUAGGCUGCAACUCGCCUACAUGAAGUCGGAAUCGCUAGUAAUCGCGGAUCAGCACGCCGCGGUGAAUACGUUCCCGGGCCUU